AAGAAAUCUCCAUGUAAGAUAUGAUGUGUUGUUCCUACCACCACGUGGCUAAAUUUCAUGGCCGGAUAACGUACCUAAACGUCACCCGGCCUUUUAUUUACUUAUUUUUGGUUUCAAAGAAAAAAUUUUCCCGCUUUUUUCUCAUUCAUGGCAUCGGUUUUUUCAGAUUCCCAAUUCGGUUGGAUCGGAUUGCAAGAAGGCAAAAUUCAAAGCACUGAUUUGACAUUAUGAAGAUUAAAGUGGUGGAUCCCAACUGUUUCACUAUGCCAAUCUCACAAAACUGAGGCGGUAGAAAAGGCCAAGAUGAUGGAGGUAGGAGGUGAUGCUAAUCCGACAAAAAAGUUUCCUACGUGUUUUAUUCUCUUCCUUACAUGGUCUUAUUGGGUUGCUAAGACUUUUAACCGACAGCAAAUCCAAUGACGGUACCAAAACUUUCUUACUUUCACAUGCAUGCCACAGUUCACACAGUUUCACCUUUAGGAGCCCUGUAGAAAAAGAAACCUUUAUGUUAUCUUCAUUACAGGAGAUUUUUUGUGUAAAUUGUCCUGAACAAUGCCAAGAACUCUGUAUCUGGCUGACUGGAUGUGUCCGUACAAUGAUUAUACUGUGUGUUUUUUUUUUUUUUUCUCAGAAGAAAGGUCCACACGUGUUACCUUUGCAGUUAGGACCCCCCCACCUGAAUACAGAGUUUUUCAGAGAUGGGGGAGCUUGCAGGCACUUGGCUUUCUAUCUGAUAGGUGUUUGAUUGCUUAGACAAAAAUUUCUGUUCCACCCAUUAUUCAAGAAUGACUUUGUACUCUGAGGAUGCCAAAUGUACUUUCUAGAUUUCUUUC